rnacentral:lncRNA from 1 species
CCCCCUUUUAGUUUCUUCCAUGAGAAAAGAAGGGACAUCUCUCCUCUCUUGUGGUCGCCCAAAAAUAAGGAGGGGCAUCCAACUCUUGGACGCCCCAACAUCCACACGCCAUCUCUCCUCUUGUCCUCCUUCUUGAAAAGAUUUUGUGAGAGUUUCUUGCUGAUUUUUGGGCAUCAAAAAGAGGCUCCUCUGCUAGUUAUACAGCAAAAAAUUAUAGAAGAAAAAUUCUUCCCAAGAAUAAAAAGAUCAAGGAAGAAGAAGGAUCUUCUUUCUUGCGCGCAGCCUUGAAGAAAAAGGAGUUCUUCUUUCAGAUUUUUUUUUAUUUUUU